CAGUCGCCGCGGUAAUACGUAGGGUGCGAGCGUUAAUCGGAAUUACUGGGCGUAAAGCGUGCGCAGGCGGUUUUGUAAGACAGGCGUGAAAUCCCCGGGCUCAACCUGGGAAUGGCGCUUGUGACUGCAAAGCUAGAGUGCGGCAGAGGGGGAUGGAAUUCCGCGUGUAGCAGUGAAAUGCGUAGAUAUGCGGAGGAACACCGAUGGCGAAGGCAAUCCCCUGGGCCUGCACUGACGCUCAUGCACGAAAGCGUGGGGAGCAAACAGGAUUAGAUACCCCCGUAGUCCCUGUCUCUUAUAC
rnacentral:rRNA from 1 species